rnacentral:rRNA from 1 species
AGGACGAACGCUGGCGGCGUGCUUAACACAUGCAAGUCGAGCGGAAAGGCCCUUCGGGGUACUCGAGCGGCGAACGGGUGAGUAACACGUGAGCAAUCUGCCCUUAGCUUCGGGAUAGCUCCGGGAAACCGGAAUUAAUACCGAAUAUGACUUCGGCCGACAUCGGCCUUGGUGGAAAGUUUUUCGGCUAGGGAUGAACUCGCGGCCUAUCAGCUUGUUGGUGGGGUAAUGGCCUACCAAGGCGACGACGGGUAGCCGGCCUGAGAGGGCGACCGGCCACACUGGGACUGAGACACGGCCCAGACUCCUACGGGAGGCAGCAGUGGGGAAUAUUGCGCAAUGGGCGAAAGCCUGACGCAGCGACGCCGCGUGGGGGAUGAAGGCCUUCGGGUUGUAAACCCCUUUCAGCAGGGACGAAGCGAAAGUGACGGUACCUGCAGAGAAGCGCGGCUAACUACGUGCCAGCAGCCGC